rnacentral:lncRNA from 1 species
GCAUCUUUACAGUUAUUGGUUUUCAAUUUGUUUGACCGUUUAAAAGUAACAUAUGAACUUUAUUCACGAUGUACGAUUGUUUGCGUCUUCCUAAUUUGACCAACAUUAUGACCCAUUGGCCGAGGGCGAUCCCACUUUAAUGAAGAAGUAACUCCACCAGCCCUUAACUUUCAUUUAUGUCGGUUUCAAAACAAUUUACAACAUCAUGUGCCAAACCAUGUUGCCUAGAAAUCAAUCCCCGUGCCUUGUAUACGCACCACACUGUGCCUAGUUGCGACAGCGUUUGCUAGUGAAUCGAUCGAAACCAGAGCCAAACUCCCUCAUAGAUUACUAAUAUUCAAUUUGCCUAUAUACAUUGUCACAAUUCCUACACUUACACUCUAAAGCUACAAUCUAACACCAUUAAUCUAAAAUUUGAACACAAACAAGACCAUUAAACACCGAAUAUCAAUCCAAGAUCCACCACAUUACACCCACCAACAAAAACCCAAAACUUUUAUCCCAAAGAACCCACGUAAAACAGAAAAAAAGAUAACCUUUUUGCAUGUUAACGGAGACGCAAGAAAAUAAACACAAUCAGUGUUUCGUUUCAAGAACUCCUCAUCCUCCGGAGCCAAUUGGGAAGCUUGUGGUGGUUGAUUGGUAACACCACCCACCAUCGUUGGGGUUCGAACAAAAAAAAAAAAAAAAAAAAAAACCUGUAAAAUUUGAAUAAUAUGGACGGUUGGAUCUAGGGUUUGUGAGUGGCUCAACAGGGGUGUUGAAGAUGUGGGUAUUGAUCUUGAAAUAAGGGGUUGUGGGUAUUGAAAGAUAGCCGCCAAAUAGUGGAGAAAAGGGGUGUUGAAGGUUUGAAGAGAGGAACCAGCAGCUGAACCCCACAGAAGCCAAGAAGAUCUAACCCUGACCCUGAACCAGGAUGGUGUUAAAGGGGAGCCAUGGACUCGUUGGACAUUAUGCCUAG